rnacentral:snRNA from 2 species
AUACCUUUCUCGGCCUUUUGGCUAAGAUCAAGUGUAGUAUCUGUUCUUAUUAGUUUAAUAUCUGAUACGUGGACCAAUGGUUCACAUGAUAUUAAAUUACUUUUUCUAGGGGGAGAAGCCAUUUUUAGUAGCAAGGCUUCUCGAGUGUUGCCAGUGUGUUGCACUAUAGCAUUGGCUUGGCGCACCCCAC